rnacentral:rRNA from 1 species
CCGGCGAUGUCCGAAUGGGGAAACCCAGUGCAAUUCGUUGCACUAUCGUUAACUGAAUACAUAGGUUAACGAGGCGAACCGGGGGAACUGAAACAUCUAAGUACCCCGAGGAAAAGAAAUCAACCGAGAUUCCCCCAGUAGCGGCGAGCGAACGGGGAGCAGCCCAGAGUCUGAAUCAGCUUGUGUGUUAGUGGAACGGUCUGGAAAGUCCGACGGUACAGGGUGAUAGUCCCGUACACCAAAAUGCACAGGUUGUGAACUCGAAGAGUAGGGCGGGACACGUGGUAUCCUGUCUGAAUAUGGGGGGACCAUCCUCCAAGGCUAAAUACUCCUGACUGACCGAUAGUGAACCAGUACCGUGAGGGAAAGGCGAAAAGAACCCCGGCGAGGGGAGUGAAAAAGAACCUGAAACCGUGUACGUACAAGCAGUGGGAGCACCUUCGGGUGUGACUGCGUACCUUUUGUAUAAUGGGUCAGCGACUUAUAUUCUGUAGCAAGGUUAACCGUAUAGGGGAGCCGCAGGGAAACCGAGUCUUAACUGGGCGUUAAGUUGCAGGGUAUAGACCCGAAACCCGGUGAUCUAGCCAUGGGCAGGUUGAAGGUUGGGUAACACUAACUGGAGGACCGAACCGACUAAUGUUGAAAAAUUAGCGGAUGACUUGUGGCUGGGGGUGAAAGGCCAAUCAAACCGGGAGAUAGCUGGUUCUCCCCGAAAGCUAUUUAGGUAGCGCCUCGUGAACUCAUCUUCGGGGGUAGAGCACUGUUUCGGCUAGGGGGUCAUCCCGACUUACCAACCCGAUGCAAACUACGAAUACCGAAGAAUGUUAUCACGGGAGACACACGGCGGGUGCUAACGUCCGUCGUGAAGAGGGAAACAACCCAGACCGCCAGCUAAGGUCCCAAAGUCAUGGUUAAGUGGGAAACGAUGUGGGAAGGCACAGACAGCCAGGAUGUUGGCUUAGAAGCAGCCAUCAUUUAAAGAAAGCGUAAUAGCUCACUGGUCGAGUCGGCCUGCGCGGAAGAUGUAACGGGGCUAAACCAUGCACCGAAGCUGCGGCAGCGACACUAUGUGUUGUUGGGUAGGGGAGCGUUCUGUAAGCCUGCGAAGGUGUGCUGUGAGGCAUGCUGGAGGUAUCAGAAGUGCGAAUGCUGACAUAAGUAACGAUAAAGCGGGUGAAAAGCCCGCUCGCCGGAAGACCAAGGGUUCCUGUCCAACGUUAAUCGGGGCAGGGUGAGUCGACCCCUAAGGCGAGGCCGAAAGGCGUAGUCGAUGGGAAACAGGUUAAUAUUCCUGUACUUGGUGUUACUGCGAAGGGGGGACGGAGAAGGCUAUGUUAGCCGGGCGACGGUUGUCCCGGUUUAAGCAUGUAGGCUGAUUGUCCAGGCAAAUCCGGAUAAUCAAGGCUGAGGUGUGAUGACGAGGCACUACGGUGCUGAAGUAACAAAUGCCCUGCUUCCAGGAAAAGCCUCUAAGCAUCAGGUAACAUUAAAUCGUACCCCAAACCGACACAGGUGGUCAGGUAGAGAAUACCAAGGCGCUUGAGAGAACUCGGGUGAAGGAACUAGGCAAAAUGGUGCCGUAACUUCGGGAGAAGGCACGCUGGUGUGUAGGUGAAGUCCCUGCGGAUGGAGCUGAGACCAGUCGAAGAUACCAGCUGGCUGCAACUGUUUAUUAAAAACACAGCACUGUGCAAACACGAAAGUGGACGUAUACGGUGUGACGCCUGCCCGGUGCCGGAAGGUUAAUUGAUGGGGUUAUCCGUAAGGAGAAGCUCUUGAUCGAAGCCCCGGUAAACGGCGGCCGUAACUAUAACGGUCCUAAGGUAGCGAAAUUCCUUGUCGGGUAAGUUCCGACCUGCACGAAUGGCGUAAUGAUGGCCAGGCUGUCUCCACCCGAGACUCAGUGAAAUUGAACUCGCUGUGAAGAUGCAGUGUACCCGCGGCAAGACGGAAAGACCCCGUGAACCUUUACUAUAGCUUGACACUGAACAUUGAGCCUUGAUGUGUAGGAUAGGUGGGAGGCUUUGAAGCGUGGACGCCAGUCUGCGUGGAGCCAACCUUGAAAUACCACCCUUUAAUGUUUGAUGUUCUAACGUUGGCCCCUGACCGGGGUUGCGGACAGUGUCUGGUGGGUAGUUUGACUGGGGCGGUCUCCUCCCAAAGCGUAACGGAGGAGCACGAAGGUUAGCUAAUCCUGGUCGGACAUCAGGAGGUUAGUGCAAUGGCAUAAGCUAGCUUGACUGCGAGCGUGACGGCGCGAGCAGGUGCGAAAGCAGGUCAUAGUGAUCCGGUGGUUCUGAAUGGAAGGGCCAUCGCUCAACGGAUAAAAGGUACUCCGGGGAUAACAGGCUGAUACCGCCCAAGAGUUCAUAUCGACGGCGGUGUUUGGCACCUCGAUGUCGGCUCAUCACAUCCUGGGGCUGAAGUAGGUCCCAAGGGUAUGGCUGUUCGCCAUUUAAAGUGGUACGCGAGCUGGGUUUAGAACGUCGUGAGACAGUUCGGUCCCUAUCUGCCGUGGGCGCUGGAGAAUUGAGGGGGGCUGCUCCUAGUACGAGAGGACCGGAGUGGACGCAUCACUGGUGUUCGGGUUGUCAUGCCAAUGGCACUGCCCGGUAGCUAAAUGCGGAAGAGAUAAGUGCUGAAAGCAUCUAAGCACGAAACUUGCCCCGAGAUGAGUUCUCCCUGAGACUUUAAGUCUCCUGAAGGAACGUUGAAGACGACGACGUUGAUAGGCCGGGUGUGUAAGCGCAGCGAUGCGUUGAGCUAACCGGUACUAAUGAACCGUGAGGCUUAACCUU